GCACCCCUAGCUCAGCUGGUAGAGCAACUGACUCUUAAUCAGUGGGUCUAGGGUUCGAAUCCCUAGGGGUGCA
rnacentral:tRNA from 1 species